AAUUGUAGAUGCAGCACGGCACUGUGACCUACAGGUACGCAUUGAUCAUACUUCUCGUACACUGAGUUUUGGCUCCGAUCUGAACUAUUCUACCAAAGAGGAUUCUCCAGUAGGUCCGUUCCUACAGAACAUGCCCUCUGAACAGAUACGGAAUCAACUCACUGCCAUGUCAUCCUCCUUGGCUAAAGCCAUCCAGGUCAUCAAACCUGCAUCCAUACUGCAAGAACAUGAGGAACAGAGUCAGCAGGCCAUCACAUCCUACCUGAAGAAUGCCCGCAAAGAGCAUCAGCGCAUCCUUGCUCGCCGUCAAACGAUUGAGGAACGCAAAGAGCGUCUGGAGAGCCUC